UACGGGGGGAGCAAGCGUUGUUCGGAUUUACUGGGCGUAAAGGGCGCGUAGGCGGCUUAACAAGUCACUUGUGAAAUCUCCGGGCUUAACUCGGAACGGUCAAGUGAUACUGUCGGACUAGAGUACAGAAGGGGCAACUGGAAUUCUCGGUGUAGCGGUGAAAUGCGUAGAUAUCGAGAGGAACACCGGUGGCGAAGGCGGGUCUCUGGGCAACAACUGACGCUGGAGGAGCGAAAGCGUGGGGAGCAAACAGG
rnacentral:rRNA from 1 species